rnacentral:rRNA from 1 species
UACGUAGGAGGCAAGCGUUGUCCGGAAUUACUGGGCGUAAAGCGCGUGUAGGUGGUGGGCCAAGUCUGUGGUGAAAUCGCCCGGCUCAACUGGGCGAGGUCCGUGGAAACUGGUCGACUGGAGGACGGUAGAGGCGAGUGGAAUUCCCGGUGUAGUGGUGAAAUGCGUAGAGAUCGGGAGGAACACCAGUGGCGAAGGCGGCUCGCUGGGCCGGUCCUGACACUGAGACGCGAAGGCGUGGGGAGCGAACGGG